CUGCUGGUUGGUGCUCUCCCCCCUCCUUCCUCCCCACCCCACCCCCCUCCCCGCGGUCUCCCGUGCGGUGCCCUGAGCGCUGGAGGCUGACGUCAGGGGCCUGAAUUCCUGACUUUGCCUGCACGCAUUUGUCCAUACGGCAGACUGGGAGGCUGAGCUCUGAACGGGGAGAUCCUGCCACGGAACCACCACCCCACCCCACCCCCCGACACACACACCACCACCACCACCCCGACUCCCCCAACCCCGAGAGCCUCGGAGCCCCGCCCAGGACUCCAGCGGGACUCGAAACUGCGGGACGCGGAGAGCAACUUCGGUUGACUUCACACGUUGAGAGCGCCGAAGCUCUCAGGGGCUGGGACCCGGCAUAGGUGUCCACUCCGCAGGUCUAGGAGCAGACCUGACGAUAGUCGACUCCAAGCCGGCUUUCCGCCUCCACGCGGGUCCCAGGCCCCCGGGCAGUGAGCUCCGAACCGAGUUAGACCCGCGAGGAGGACUCGACCACCCACUGAAGUGACUAACCCCAGUUCCUGGAAGGUUGUGGUUGACGAGCCUUGAGUAACAAUGGCAGUCGGGUGCUUCGGGCCAACUUCCUGUCCUUUGUUCAAAGAAAUGAACCUUUUGGAGUUUGAGGCUUUGCUUCCCAACCCUGCCCCGCCGGAAAACCGGAGAGCUUGCUCCGUCCUUACAGCUUGAAAAAGAAAAUACACGAACUGGGUGAACUGGUUUGAAUAAAGACAGGCCUGUUCUUGGAAGGUUGGGGGUUGGACUUUUGAUGUUUGUAAAAGUGAGCAACCAUAAGAACCCCAUUUGCUAUGCUUAAGACACGGGCCAGGAGACGGUGAAAGCCCUCCUGCCCGAGGUAGUGAAGGCUUCUAAUGCGAGCACGGGGAGGUUUACGUAGACCCUGUCACAAACAAAACAGAGAAGCCAUGAUUUGCUUUCUCUGUGUUUCUAUCCCUUUCCUACACAGAAGAAAUGCUUCACCCCCAUCGCCCCCCGCCAACAUCAACCUCAGCCCACGCCAAGGGCACUCCCACCCGUCACGGUCGUUGGGUAGGUUGGACAGAAAAGAUGGUAAAGUGCACAACUGUCGGAGCAAAACUCCCGAAGUCCCCAUUCUCAAGCCACCUUCCACCCACCCUGUGGGGCUCUGACCUCUUGCAGCCUUAAAUCAGUCAUGCAUACAGAAAGUACACCAAGAACUACGGGAACGGGGAAGCUCGAACAUGGUUGUUCUCAGGUUAGAUUUUGAUAAACCUUUCUGACACGAUUAAGUGUCAAAGUACAUGUUUUUGUACUUGACAGUGUACUGAACACCUCUCCCGCAGUCUUGAAAUUCAAUGCUUCUGGGACCAAACUCCUUUAACCCCUUUGUCCCGUCAGCUUUCCCAGCUACAUAUUCAAAAGAAAGGAGACAGGAGACGGCCUGGGCCGGAGAGAAGAUCAAGAGUACCGUGCAUUCCACGCAAUAAUGAAAUAUUUUUCUCUACGUGAUUAACCUGAUUAAAGACGGGAAGCGAGCUCCUAGAGUUCAGGCUUUUUAAAAGAUCACAAUUUUUUUUUCCGCUCCACUCUAGGCGUUUCAGCCAAUCUGUGGCCUGUGUGUGUCUACUCUUUAGUAUCAGAAAUCACCCAGUGCUCACUUAGGUAGGAUGGAACUUGACCUUCCUUGCUUGCCUUACUCCCUUCUCGGUAACCCACUUAUAAAGAAUAAUAGGGUUCUAAUGAGGAUUAAUAAAAUUUAAUAAGGUAUAAUUAGAGUCAUUCAUUUCCUCAAUCAUACACAUUGUAAGAGUGCUGUGUUGAUCCAGAAAUGCUACUAAUUAUGUUGAAACUCUUCUCUGUGUUAGGGAAGAUCGCUGUGUCACUUCUCCUGAAACACGGAUGAGUUGCUCAGGUAGGCAAGGUGCUGGUGUGAGCAUCAUAGGAAGCUAAUCACAAAAGAAUCUCCACUCCUGAGGCACUCACCAGCAGUGUGACAAAGUCAUAAAUUGGGUGUUGGGUGAACCACACGCCCGGCCAUCAGGAGUUCUAACCCAAAACAAAAGCCUCACUCCUCAUUGUUGUUCUGCUUUCUUUUGUCCUUUCACUUACAGUGUGCAGAGACUUGGGCUGGAAAGUUUGGAAGUAUGGAGCAGUCUAACUAGUGGUUUCUUUCCUAUUGCAGAGAAUAAAGGUAGUUAGGGCCCGACAUAGGGCCGCAGCCCUCUGGUCUCAGGAAGGCUGGCAGUUGAGAUGAAAGCUAACAGCAGCUUUGUCACAAGCAGGCUGAUGGAUCCCGCUACUGUGCUGUAUCCAUCACAGACCUAUACCUGAAGGCCUUGCCAAAGCUCAUGACAGCCCAUUUUCUGGAGUCUGGGCCGGGUGACAGCGUGAGGACUUUUCCUAUGCAAUUCAUGUAACCUGUAAGUCCCUCCGAGGGACUUUACGUUAUUUCUGUGAAGCCAGAAGAGGCUAAGCAUCUUGUUCCUAACACUAGUGUCUGAGACUCCACAGUGAGCCUAGGAAGCCUGGCACCUCACACUUCCCACUGCUGAGUGGCCAUCUGUGUGAAGAGUUCAGUGUAGGGGCUUCGAAUCUGCAGCUAGUGGAGUGGAAGAACACAGAACCAGCUACGGAGAAAUAAUGAGGGUACGGGUCCCCAGGGAAGACGGGAGGCCGAAACAGUCUGAGGGUGCUUCUCCCCAGAUGGCGUUCCCUGGUCUUGGCGAUUUGGCACCAGCUUGAGGCCUCAGCUGCAUUUCUGCAGUCCUGAAGAGACCUCCAGCUGUAACCAGUUGAAGUUAGGGUAGGCUCCUAUGUACAGCUCCUUGCUCUGUGUGCCUUCAUCUUUGCACCGUUUCCACUCUCAGGAACAAUCUUCUCUGUUUACCUGGCAACCCUGCACACUCCUGUGCAAUCUCAUCUCCCCUAAGGACUCUCUGUCCCCUGUGCCACCUCCAGACCACUCCUUGCCCUGUGUUAAGACCUCAGACAUAAGACACUGGGCCAAGCUCUCGCCUAAUUUGUCUUUUCUUCCUACUUCACUCACAGUGUAGUAUAUACUAGAGUCCCUAAAAGAAUUCUUGCCUUGGUCAUUGCAGGUAUCUCGGGCUUGGACAUGUUAAUUCCUUUCUGAUAAUCCUGUCCACAGGCAGAGAAAAACAGAGAAGGUAAAAGGCCUGGGUGCUUCCAUAGAGAACUGCAUCAAAAAAUGAGAUCGGGAUCCAAGCAAGCCAGUGGGAUGGUAGAGAAACAGUCAGGAGCCCAGACAUUCGGAAGUAACACCAAGACUAGCUCAUGACAGGACACAGGGGAGGAAGCUUCAUAGGCCCUGAUCUACUUCAAAAUCAUUGUGCAAUCUCUCCAGGAGUCCCUUCUUCUGUGGUCUCAAUGUCUUCCUUCCAUACAAUUAAAUUCUUAAUUUGGUGUACUACAACACUCUCUAGCUCCCAAGCGUGAUUCUGUAUUCUCAUCAGUGACCAAAUCCGUUUCCACGAAACAUGGCAUGACACUUUUACUUGCAGAGAUUUCUUCAGAUCAUUAAGCUUCUGUGUGAACCUUUCAGCUGCCAUUUUCAUGUUCCCUGGAUAAGCAGUAGUGGGUGGGUGUUUUCCAAUUGGAGGCUGUACUUCCCUCCUCCACCAUCUCCAGCUCCUUUCUCUCUCUCUCUCUCUCUCUCUCUCUCUCUCUCUCUCUCUCUCACACACACACACACACACACACACACACACAUACUUCCCUGUCAAUCCUUCCUCAGACUGAACCUGAAAGACUUCAAGACCCAAUCCCUUACCAUUGCAGAUUCUGCCUGCCCCGCUGGCCUCCCAAAAAGAAGCCUCUUACCAUCACCUUCUCACCAUUCCUUCCCAUGGUCUCCAUUAAAAUGGCAGCAACCUUUCUGCCUUCUAAGAAAGCAACAAUUGCCUAGCAUUUAGAACUAAAUGUUAAUGAGCUGAGGAAAAGAAAAUCCUUCAUCAAGAAAAACCAUAUGACUGAUACGUUCUCACCAGAAGAUUGGCUAUGUACCUCCUAACCCUGUGUGAACACUAGGCAAGGCAAAGGGGCUCUGCUGUAGCUGUCCUUUGGCACCGUGUGUUCUCUGAGCCCGUCUAGGACUUUUCACAUUUUGUGCACAUGAAUUUUAUAAGUCGAAUAAGUAUGUCUGUUACCAGAACACAUCUGGAAUUAAAAUAAUGGCUACCUUACCACCUCGUAUCACACAAAUUUGUCUUUAAAACGCCAAGUCACGGGCGUGGUUGAGAGGCAAUCUGUCUCCUAUGGGUUCACACAUUGGUGACUCGGUCCCCAGCCUGUGGCCCCGUGGAGGUGAUAGGAUAUUUAAGAGGUGGGGUUUGGUGACAGACACUUGGGUCAUUGCAGGCCCUGCCCUUGAGAAUGGUUAGAGAUAAGGCCACUCUCCUGUGACUCCUGGGUAUAUCUCAUAAGACAGGUAUUACAAAAGGAGCUUGUUCCAUCCUCUGCUCUCUAUUUCCCAAUCUGAGAUGUGACAACUUGCUCCCACCAUAUGGACACUGUCACCCUCACCAGAGGCCAAACUAAUAAAAUAUCCAGUAUUGAACACUGUACAUCUAUCAUAUAUAUGUGUGUACAUGUGUGCAUGUAUACAUAUAUAUGUAUGUAUACAUAUAUAUUUAGAACUAAGCACAUGGGGAAGUUUUAAUAUUUCAUACUUCCUAGGCUGUUUCAAAGAGAGUGUGGUUCCCUUUGGAAAAUCACUGUAGUAGUAACUAGUAGUGCAGUGAAGACAGAGCCUCUGGAUAAUGGCAGCUCUAACACAGGCAUAUUAAUAUCAACCUUGUGAAAACCUGUUGCCAGCAAUAGUGGUAGGGUCGUCAUAGGUGCAUUGGGAAUGAUAAUGAAGAUCCUAAGGAAAGGUUUGCUUACUUUCUUCCUCAUAAUUCAUGCUACAACAGAGGAAAAUAAUUUCAUUGUAAAAUGUAUAUAGUAUCAGACCUUCUAAAUGUAGGAUUUCUGCCCUUAUUGCUACUAGGAUGCUUCAUCAAGGCACACUUUCUUCAUCAUCUUAAAAGGGUUAAGCCAAUGACUUACCUGAGUUGGGAGUUUGGCACAUCUUACCCCAUUUUCUGUGGGUGGCUAUAGAGACAUCACUGGUUAGACCUUGUCAGAUUAUAGGAUCAGAUUAUCCAGGUGGAUUCGUCCUAUUGUAGUUCAACCUCCUAUACCAGGAUGCCGGCUUCUGACUUCAGACAAGCCUAGAGCCUAGGAGAGCUGUGAUUGUUCCUAGAAGGCAUGACUGUGGGGACCAACGUGAUAGCAGUGAGCUUAGUAAACAGAACUUUAUUCCUUCCUGGUUUGUGUCUGUUGAAAAGAAUCAGGAACUCAGACAACAAAGCACACCCUUUUUGUCCUUUCCUUCCUGUUGUUACAUCAAGUAUCUACCAUGUACCCAAUGUGAUGGCGAAUCUUGUUUGUCAAUUUGUCAUACCUGGGAAGAAGAAUUGCCUCCAUCAGACUGUGAUGGAGUGUGUCAGUGGGACAUUUUGCUUGAUUGCUAGUUGGUAGAAGAGAGCCUAGCCGAAUAUGAGUGGUGCAAUCCUUAGGCUAGUAGGUUGGGACUCCGUAAGAAAAGCUGUUAAACGUUGGCCAGGGAGGAAGCCAGUAAUUAUUGUAGCUUUGUAGUUUCUGCCUAAAGCUCCAGUCUUGAGUUCCUGCUUUGGUUUGUACCAAUGAUGGACUAUAACCUGUAAGGUGAAAUAAACCCUUUCCUCCUCAAGUUGCCUUUGGCCAUGGUGUUUGUCACAAAUGGAAAGCAAAAAGGAUACCGCUAAUCAUGAGGUCUGGAAAGAAAACUGGCAAAAGUAGAUGCAGUCACCACCCUACCUGCUAACACAAAGAUUGAGGGAGCAGUUGAGAAAACUUGGCUGAGACCACCCAGGACUGGAUCUACUGUGAAUCCUUUUGGGGUUGAUGGAUGAGCCUGGAGAUACUGUGUGCCCGUUGGGGAACACAAAUGUGGAGCACACGUUUCUUUUCAUUUAACAGACACAGAAAGUAGAGAAUGACGUCCAAAGAUUCAAAUGGUACAGCCAAGGCAUCUAUUGGUAGCCGCACCAGUCCCUUUAUGACAUUUUAUAGAAGAAAAUUUGCUAGCGCUUGGUAAUCAGGAGUCCAGAGUCUAGGCUUGGGAUGAACGUCACUGCAUGGCUGUGUCAUGCAAUCAGUAGGCAUCACAGACACCAAGGCAGAUUUGUUUGUUUAUAUUUUUAAGAAAGGGUCUUUCUAAUUCACACUAAAUGGCCUCCACCUGACUGUGUGGCUU